AGAGUUUGAUCCUGGCUCAGGAUGAACGCUGGCGGUAUGCCUAACACAUGCAAGUCGUACGAGAGUUUUUAACUCAAGUGGCGGACGGGUGAGUAACACGUGAGAAUUUGCCUUUAGGAGGGGGAUAACAACGGGAAACUGUUGCUAAUACCCCAUAUGCUUUCGAGUGAAAUAGAUUUAUCUGCCUAAAGAGAAGCUCGCGGCUGAUUAGCUUGUUGGUAAGGUAAUGGCUUACCAAGGCGACGAUCAGUAUCUGGUUUGAGAGGACGAUCAGACACACUGGAACUGAGACACGGUCCAGACUCCUACGGGAGGCAGCAGUGGGGAAUUUUCCGCAAUGGGCGAAAGCCUGACGGAGCAAUACCGCGUGAAGGAAGACGGCCUAUGGGUUGUAAACUUCUUUUCUCAGGGAGGAACUCAAUGACGUGUACCUGAGGAAUAAGCAUCGGCUAACUCCGUGCCAGCAGCCGCGGUAAGACGGAGGAUGCAAGUGUUAUCCGGAAUCACUGGGCGUAAAGCGUCUGUAGGUGGUUUAAUAAGUCAACUGUUAAAUCUUGAGGCUCAACCUCAAAAUCGCAGUCGAAACUAUUAGACUAGAGUAUAGUAGGGGUAAAGGGAAUUUCCAGUGGAGCGGUGAAAUGCGUAGAGAUUGGAAAGAACACCGAUGGCGAAGGCACUA
rnacentral:rRNA from 1 species